rnacentral:rRNA from 1 species
UACGGGGGGGGGUAAGCGUUGUUCGGAAUUACUGGGCGUAAAGGGCUCGUAGGCGGCCAACUAAGUCAUACGUGAAAUCCCUCAGCUUAACUGGGGAACUGCGUGUGAUACUGGAUGGCUUGGAUGUGGGAGAGGGAUGCGGAAUUCCAGGUGUAGCGGUGAAAUGCGUAGAUAUCUGGAGGAACACCGGUGGCGAAGGCGGCAUCCUGGACCAUUAUUGACGCUGAGGAGCGAAAGCCAGGGGGAGCAAACGGGG